rnacentral:rRNA from 1 species
AUUGACACCCCGAGCCACACGAACCCGAUGCUGGAGUUCGGCCGCCGCCUGGCGCGCCAGGGCCUCCGCCCAACGUUCGUCUCCACCCGUCACGUGCUCUCCUCCACCCCACCCCCUGGCGUGCCCUUCCGCGUGGCCGCCAUCUUCGAUGGAUUCGACGCCGGUGGCUUCGCCUCGUGCCCGGACCCCGCCGAGUACUUCUCCCGGCUGGAGGCCGCGGGGUCCGAGACGCUGCGCGACCUCCUGUUGUCGGAGGAGACGACCGCAGUGCGCUUGCUGGUGUACGACUCGCACCUGCCAUGGGCGGGGCGGGUGGCGCGGGCCGCCGGCGUGCCCGCCGCGGCGUUCUUCUCGUAGCCAUGCGCGGUGAACAUCGUCUACGGGGAGGUGUGGACGGGGCGGCUGGCGCUGCCGGUGACGGACGGGCGUGCACUAGUAGGGAAAAGCCUAGCAGUAGCGCGCGUUUUAGGUGUAUCGGUAGCGCGGGGUGCCGCGCUACUGAUACGGCGCUACAACUAA